rnacentral:tRNA from 1 species
GGGCGGUUAGCUCAGCGGCAGAGCAUCGGUCUUACAAGCCGGGGGUCGCAGGUUCGAACCCUGCACCGCCCA